CGGACGGGUGAGUAACGCGUGGGGAACCUGCCUCAUACAGGGGAAUAACAGAUGGAAACGUCUGCUAAUGCCGCAUAAGCGCACACUGUGGCAUCACAGAGUGUGAAAAACUCCGGUGGUAUGAGAUGGCCCCGCGUCUGAUUAGGCAGUUGGCGGGGUAACGGCCCACCAAACCGACGAUCAGUAGCCGACCUGAGAGGGUGACCGGCCACAUUGGGACUGAGACACGGCCCAAACUCCUACGGGAGGCAGCAG
rnacentral:rRNA from 1 species